UACGGAGGGGACCAGCGUUGUCCGGAUUUACUGGGCGUAAAGAGCGCGCAGGCGGUCGAUCAAGUCGAGUGUGAAAGCCCCCGGCUCAACUGGGGAGGGUCAUUCGAUACUGAUCGACUCGAAGGCAGGAGAGGGUAGUGGAAUUCCCGGUGUAGUGGUGAAAUGCGUAGAUAUCGGGAGGAACACCAGUGGCGAAGGCGACUACCUGGCCUGUUCUUGACGCUGAGGCGCGAAAGCUAGGGGAGCAAACGGG
rnacentral:rRNA from 1 species